AUGGACUUGCUCCUGAUGUUACGGCGGANGGGUGAGUACACGUGGGUACCUGCCUGUAAGACUGGGAUAACUCCGGGAAACCGGGGCUAAUACCGGAUGGUUGUUUGAACCGCAUGGUUCAAACAUAAAAGGUGGCUUCGGCUACCACUUACAGAUGGACCCGCGGCGCAUUAGCUAGUUGGUGAGGUAACGGCUCACCAAGGCGACGAUGCGUAGCCGACCUGAGAGGGUGAUCGGCCACACUGGGAACUGAGACACGGCCCAGACUCCUACGGGAGGCAGCAGUAGGGAAUCUUCCGCAAUGGACGAAAGUCUGACGGAGCAACGCCGCGUGAGUGAUGAAGGUUUUCGGAUCGUAAAGCUCUGUUGUUAGGGAAGAACAAGUACCGUUCGAAUAGGGCGGUACCUUGACGGUACCUAACCAGAAAGCCACGGCUAAC
rnacentral:rRNA from 1 species